GAGCCACUGACACGCCGGCAGCACAAUGAUGAUGUCUCUGACUCUACUGCUGGCCACCCUGGGGCUCCUUGUUCAGGGUUCAUCAGGACAAAUCACUGUGACUCAGACUCCUGGAUCUCAGUCUGUUGUUCCAGGACAGACUGUCUCUAUCAGAUGUCAAACCAGUUCAAGUGUUGGUAGUUGGCUCCAUUGGUACCUUCAGAAACCUGGAGAAGCUCCUAAACUCCUGAUUUAUUCUGCUACAAACCGUCAGUCUGGAGUUCCAGGUCGUUUUAGUGGAAGUGGAUCAGGGACUGACUUCACUCUGACCAUCAGUGGAGUUCAGGCUGAAGAUUCAGGAGUUUACUACUGUCAGCAGAGUUACAGCUCGUUCACACAGUGAAAAAGCGUUGUACAAAAACCUCCCUCAGCUGCAGAGGAACUGAUCUGACUCAACAGCUGCACUGACACUAAAACACUAGAGGUUUGACUGCAACAUAUUCUCAUGCUGUGAAAAGUUUCAUCUGAGAGAAAAUCUGUAUUUGUUUCAUUUACUAUAAAACAUGAUGAAUAUUUUACUUAUUCCACACACACACACACACACACACACACACACA